AAACGACUCUCGGCAACGGAUAUCUCGGCUCACGCAUCGAUGAAGAACGUAGCAAAAUGCGAUACUUGGUGUGAAUUGCAGAAUCCCGUGAACCAUCGAGUUUUUGAACGCAAGUUGCGCCCGAAGCCUUUCGGCCGAGGGCACGUCUGCCUGGGUGUCACAC
rnacentral:rRNA from 1 species